rnacentral:pre_miRNA from 1 species
GGGAGAGAGUACACCAGAGAGAUGAGGGAGAGACAGAUGUACUCUCUCUCUCAUCUCUCUGUCUCUCCCUUAUCUCUCUGGUGUACUCUCUCUCAU